GACGAACGCUGGCGGCGUGCUUAACACAUGCAAGUCGAACGGAAAGGCCCCCACCUUGGUGGGGGUGCUCGAGUGGCGAACGGGUGAGUAACACGUGGGUGAUCUGCCCUGUACUUCGGGAUAAGCUUGGGGAAACUAGGGUCUAAUACCGGAUAGGACCAUGGUUUAGUGUCUCAUGGUGGAAAGAUUAUUGUUUGGUGCAGGAUGAGCUCGCGGCCUAUCAGCUUGUUGGUGGGGUAAGGCCUACCAAGGCGUCGACGGGUAGCCGGCCUGAGAGGGUGGACGGCCACAUUGGGACUGAGAUACGGCCCAGACUCCUACGGGAGGCAGCAGUGGGGAAUAUUGCACAAUGGGCGCAAGCCUGAU
rnacentral:rRNA from 1 species